ensembl:snoRNA
AGCACUUUGUGGUAUCUGCAGCCAGUUGCUUCAUCAGCUGGUUUGUUCAAAAGCUAGUGCGAGACAAACUCAACAUCUGGCAUCGUUGGUCUCCAUGCUGCCUGUGCCUGGAGUCCUGGUAUUUGUGUUGAGACACUC